GUCUGGGCUGGGCGUUGAGCUGGAAAUGAUUGGAUUAGUGACCAACGUACCGGGCGCACAAUUGGAGCGCUAAUUAAUUUGCACUCAACAUGCUACAACUCGUUCCAAAGCUCUGGCUGGGGCCCAUCGAAAGGAAGGGGCAAGAUCUGACAUCUAAAAAUAGUUUUGUAUUCUCUUGCUAUUCUAAAGUUAGCCACAAAAUGACAUAACAGCUUGCCUUCAUCUUGCGGCGUCCAGCUGCAGUGUUUCACUUUUCCGUUUGAUAAGUCGCUGUUGCAACCGAGUUAUCCCAGCCAAGUGCCGUGCGGCAUGCGCCGGAUUACAGAAUGUUGGUCAAGGAGAGAAUCACCUAGAGAGAAGAGAAAAAUAUUUAUAUUUAGUAAUAUUUUGCUUGAUUUUAAUUGAAAUUUUUAUCGGCAAAUAUAUUGUAUCACUUACUAAUGAACAUACAUAUGAAAC